AACGCAUAUUGCGCCCGAAGCUCCGGCUUAGGGCAUGCCUGCCUCAGCGUCGUUUAUGGACCCUCGUCCCCUCUUUAGCGCCAUCUUUACGAUGAGCAUGGGGGCGGAUCUGGCCUUCCCAUUGCCUCGUUGCCAUGGGUUGGUUGAAAAUGAGAGGCAUGAGCAAGGAACACAUACGCUCCAACUGGACAGGUUCGUAUCAUCGAUGCGCAACACGAAGUUGAGGCGUGGUCUUUGCAAUUGUCUAGCAGGAAGCCAUGCAAAUGGCGUCACAACCGUUUGACCUGAGCUCAGGCAAGAUUACCCGCUGAACUUAA
rnacentral:misc_RNA from 1 species